UUAGCACCUUCAAAGACUUCUGCUUUCUGGAGAUACUUUAACAAAGAAGUCAUAAUGGAAUCCGUGUCCAGAGUCAGACUUCUGCCCACUGCAAAGCUGCAAGGCCACGCUCACCCCAGACCCAGAAUUCCACGACCUCCCUGUGAGAACCUAGGUGCAAUGGCUUAUCUUAUUUGGUGAGAGAACAUGGUUCUUGUGAAAACACAAGCCAUUGCCAGUAUGAACGGGUUACCACUACAGCGUGGAGAUCCUCUGCCUCUUAGUCAUCUGUGAGCAUCAGCGGACAUGACUGUGAGCAACGAGCACAAUCUGAAAGACUCAAAGCCACCGCACGUGUCUGGGUAAACUCCCAUAGAAGGUGAUGUCGCAGAGGAGAAAGCAUCCUCAGUAAAUGGAUAUUUCUGUUCCCCAGACAGCAUUGCCAGCAUCCCAGAGCAGCCAUGUUCCUGAUAUUCUGUUUGUUUAAUGUCUGGCAACUGCUUGGAUUUAAUGACUUGGGCAUACACAGCUAUCCACACAGAUUAGAGAAUGUGUCUAUUUGGGUGAGGAUAAAGAGAAAUUGAAGUAUCUGUGCAUCCAGGAUGGAAGAAGCAUCAAUGCCACUGUGACUACAUAAUGCUCUGCUAAAAUGUUUGAGGGGCUCUACCGUGUUGCCCUCCAAUUCAGAGUUGGUACAACCACAGGCGCCUUGGCUGAUAGGAGCAGGAAGGGAGCCAUACUGGAGCUAGUGAUGCCGAAUGGGCGGGCUGCUGCUGCCCUGCAGUGGGGAUUGUUGAAACAGCAGCCAGAGAAGAGGAUUCUCCAGCCGCCAGCCAGGGAGGAAACAGGAAAUAUUUACUGUCUACAAUCCCUGUUUUCCGUUCGCUCUCAUGAACCACACAAGAAACAGCAAGUGAGGGAAGCCUUCCCCUACUCCAGCUGCGCUGUGCAGCGUAAAGAGUACGGGGAAUAUGACGGAAAGGGAAAGACACAUUUCACUUGGUUGCUUUACCUCGUCUUCCUGGAUUGCUAGUUUUGUGGGGUUCCUAAUAAGAUCGGUCUGUAGAAGCCAAAUCUACAUGUGGCUUCUGUUUUGCUUUCUUAUACUGUUCGUUGAUUUUUGUAGUCCUAGACAUGGAAGCUUGUAAAUACUAAUUCACAUCCACAGACUCCUAUACACACUUUUGUACUAGAAACAGAAUGACAAAUCCCAAGAUAUGUUGCUUUGGGGUAUAAAAGCUAUCUCAAUCUGUGGCAAA